UAUGUAAGUCCUAAGGUAGAUUAUCGUUU
rnacentral:piRNA from 1 species